rnacentral:rRNA from 1 species
UACGUAGGGUGCGAGCGUUGUCCGGAAUUACUGGGCGUAAAGAGCUCGUAGGUGGUUUGUCGCGUUGUCCAUGAAAUUCCCUGGCUUAACUGGGGGCGUGCGGGCGAUACGGGCAGACUGGAGUACUGCAGGGGAGACUGGAAUUCCUGGUGUAGCGGUGGAAUGCGCAGAUAUCAGGAGGAACACCGGUGGCGAAGGCGGUUCUCUGGGCAUGUCCUGACGCUGAGGAGCGAAAGUGUGGGGAGCGAACAGG